AACGAACGCUGGCGGCAUGCCUAACACAUGCAAGUCGAACGAGACCUUCGGGUCUAGUGGCGCACGGGUGCGUAACGCGUGGGAACCUGCCCUUAGGUUCGGAAUAACUCCCCGAAAGGGGUGCUAAUACCGGAUAAUGUCUUCGGACCAAAGAUUUAUCGCCUUUGGAUGGGCCCGCGUUGGAUUAGCUAGUUGGUAGGGUAAAAGCCUACCAAGGCGACGAUCCAUAGCUGGUCUGAGAGGAUGAUCAGCCACACUGGGACUGAGACACGGCCCAGACUCCUACGGGAGGCAGCAGUGGGGAAUAUUGGACAAUGGGCGAAAGCCUGAUCCAGCAAUGCCGCGUGAGUGAUGAAGGCCUUAGGGUUGUAAAGCUCUUUUACCCGGGAUGAUAAGGACAGUACCGGGAGAAUAAGCUCCGGCGAACUCCGU
rnacentral:rRNA from 1 species